rnacentral:rRNA from 1 species
GUCUCGCCUGCCCUGUGACCAUGAGUUUAACGGCCGCGGUAUUUUGACCGUGCAAAGGUAGCGCAAUCACUUGUCUUUUAAAUGAAGACCUGUAUGAAUGGCAUAACGAGGGCUUAACUGUCUCCCUUUUCCAGUCAAUGAAAUUGAUCUCCCCGUGCAGAAGCGGGGAUUAAAACAUAAGACGAGAAGACCCUAUGGAGCUUUAGACAAAGAGCAGACCAUGUUAAACACACCUAAAUAAAGGACAAAACCAAUUGGCCCCUGCCCUUAUGUCUUUGGUUGGGGCGACCGCGGGGAAACAAAAAACCCCCAUGUGGACUGAAGACAUUCCUCUUCACAACCAAGAGCCACAGCUCUAAGCAACAGAACAUCUGACCAACAAGAUCCGGCACUAAGCCGAUCAACGGACCGAGUUACCCUAGGGAUAACAGCGCAAUCUCCUUUUAGAGCCCCCAUCGACAAGGAGGUUUACGACCUCGAUGUUGGAUCAGGACAUCCUAAUGGUGCAGCCGCUAUUAAGGGUUCGUUUGUUCAACGAUUAAAGUC